UACAGAGGGUGCGAGCGUUAAUCGGAGUUACUGGGCGUAAAGGGCGCGUAGGCGGUUUAAUAAGAUUGAUGUGAAAUCCCUGGGCUUAACCUAGGAACUGCAUCGAUGACUGAUAAGCUAGAGUAUUGUAGAGGGUAGUGGAAUUUCCGGUGUAGCGGUGAAAUGCGUAGAGAUCGGAAGGAACACCAGUGGCGAAGGCGGCUACCUGGACAAAUACUGACGCU
rnacentral:rRNA from 1 species